AGAAAGAUGAAUACUCAGCCACACAAGAACUAAUAUAUUAGGGAGAGCACUGGAGCAGGAGCGAGGCUGUCGGGGCCACUGGCUAACUUGAACAAUCUCAUUACACCUCAGUUUCAUCAUCUAUUAAAUCAAGGUGUUAGAUGAGUUUCCAGUGCCCCAUCUAGCUGUGACAUGCUUAAGAGUCUGUGUGUCAAAUACUAAUAGACACAUCACAUCACAUAUAUCCAAACACAUAUGUGUGAUCAUACUAAUUAUUGCAGAUCAAUAAUAUAGAAUAAUCAAUCUAUCGAACAUAGAUUCUUGGACCUGAAAAACCAUUUUAAGAGUGAACAUAUUAGUUAUUGUAGAUCACGAAUAUAGAAACCACAACCUAUCUACCUAUCACCUACCUAUCUAUCUAGUUUCUCAGACCUUAAAAACCAUUUUAAGGGUGACUAAAUAACUAGCUUUUAGUGACCCUGAUUUUCCUGAUGGGCACAUGCCCGUGUGCAGGAACACAAUUGAGCGGUUAAAAAAGACUAGCUUGCCAUUCUGCUACUGGCACCGUCUUGUUCUGAAAACAUCUGGUUUCUAAGAACAGGAACUUCAAAUCCGAUGCUAUAGAAUUAGAACAGAAAAUCAUUUGCAUACCCUUGUGAAACAGCUGAUUCUUUGCUGCUAUAUAACCUGUAUCCACGUCAACUGGCAGCUCUGUUUUGCUCCUGCUCUCAGUUGGCUGCUAAUCAGCACCUUUAAGAAUGUUAACCCUGGGACAGAAAAUUAAUUUUGCCUUGAAAACAUGCAUUAUAAAUUCUUUGCAACUGUCUUAUAUUGUAUUUCAGCAAAUUAAUUCCACAUUAGAUGUAUUCUUCCUGUGCUUUUUGAUGCCAUUUUGAAGGUGCCUGGGCCAAACCAAAUUUCCGAAAUCCUAAACAGCCAGUUCUGUUUCAAAUGGAUCUUCCCAGGGUCCCACAGAAGAGCCCCUACAGGCUGUUGAAAUCUAGAAGCUUUGUGUGAUUUGAAACUCUCAGGAGACACAGAGACAGUGUGCAGAAAGAGAUUCACUGACACACAGCUUUCUUCUUUCGAUUCCCUUUUCUGCCAGGAUCUUUUGCAUUUUGGUAUCAAUACCCUGGCUGCAGUAUACCUACACCGUGUGAAAGAUUAUUCCUACAAAUUAAAUAAAACGGAUUGGGCAAAAAGCAAGGGGUGACAAUAACCCGACACCAUUAAAGUACCUUUACUAGGGCUUCAUUCUUUUCCCCUUUACCUGGAGGGAUUCAUGAUCACCAGUGUAGUUUUUAACAUGCUGUGUAUUUAUAAGCCGAUCUGAAGGCAUUUUGUGCAGGUCCAGGAGGAGAAUGGAGGAGCCUAAAGCUUGCAAGAGGCUGAGCUGUUCUAGUGCGCGUCAAAACACUGCUGACUUUACAUGGCACAGUCACAGAAUGAGGUGGCCAAGAAAACACCCUAAUUUGGACAAGGAAUGAUGCUAUGAGAAAACUGAACUGUGUUAGAAACACAUAGUACAGAACCAAGCUGGAGGCAAAGGGUGGGACCAGAGGCAAGCCACAGGAGCACCCUGAAGUGAGGCUUCCUGUCAGAAGGCCCAGUGUCACAACCUGCUGCUUGAAGCAGAUCCCUGGAGAAUAUUCCAUGAAUGCAGAUUCUCCAGAAAUAAAACUAAAGACAGUUUUAUGCAGGAGACUGAGGAGGAGUGAGAGCUCACGCUGGCGCAUGUGAGGUGGUUUGGGAGGGAGUGGCGCAUUUUGUUUCUGUGCAAUUAGGCUCGGCCUUACCUCACUUUCCGGG